UAGGGAAUCUUGCGCAAUGGGCGAAAGCCUGACGCAGCGACGCCGCGUGCGGGAAGAAGGCCUUCGGGUUGUAAACCGCUUUCAGGAGGGACGAAGCCACUCGGGUUAAUAGCCCAGAGGGUGACGGUACCUCCAGAAGAAGCCCCGGCUAACUACGUG
rnacentral:rRNA from 1 species